UCCCCUUCUCCUCUCACAGAAAUCGCCGCCGCCGCGGCGUUCCACCGCCACCGCCACCGGCUCUCUUCUCCUUCAGCACACAUCAGCGGCGUCGUUUCCCCCUCCUCUUGCAUCGGAGCGGCUGCUGGGGAUGACGGCAAAUCUGGGGUGCCACCACCGAGGAUGAAGACGAACCCGUCCGGUGAGCACCUGGGAUAGCAACGAGCGGAGGAAGCAGUCGCGCUCCACGCAACCGCACCAUUGAUGCCACCGCGCUUUCAUUAUCGCUGAAGAAAUCGCUGCUGCUCAUCCAUCUUAAUCUAAUCUUCAACUGGGAUUUGGGGAGAGGAGAUGUUUCCAGUUUUUGGCCGUGCUUUAGCUCUAAUUCUUCCAGACCUUCGCAGUGCAGUUAGUUCAGCUUCUUCAUUGCUAAUUGAAUGUAUUGUCAUCGGCAGCUAUCGUCCUAAACUUCCAAGGCUUUCCGAAAAACCAACCAAGUGGAAUGCUAUUGAGAUGCCUUCUGAAAAAAGGUACACUAAUGGAACCUGCAAAACAGAGAUUCACAGGUAUAACGUGCGAUGAUCAUAUCAUUCUUUGCUCUGUAAUAUUGUCAUUGACUCCAAAUAUUUCCUCUUCUCCUCCAUACUUUAUGCAUGAAGUGACUAUCCUGUUACUUGCAGUCAUGCAACAGAACCAUGGUCACAGAAAUGCAGAGCAAUAACAGUCUGGAUUUGGAGCAAUGAUAUUUUAUACCCAAUUGGUUUAUUUCUUGGCUGCAGAGCUGUUCAUUGUAACUUAGAGCAGUGGUUGCAGGGUGGGGCUUAGGUGAUCCGUCCUUCAUUGUUGUGGCAAUGGUUGAUAUUUCAAUUAAUCAAACGAUUGCAAUUUGUUAAUGCUUCUCUUCUUUGAUCAGUCUUUGAAGUUUUUUCUCAAAUGCCAGGUUUGGAGCAUUGGAUUCACUGACUAGCGACUACAAUGCUUGCUUCUGCACAAUGGAGACAUAUCCAAAACUUAACCCAACAAGCCAUGUAUAUUCUGUUCUUUUUUGCCCUUCCACUGUCUUCGAUAAUACACGUCUUGCUAGCUAGGUUCUGCAUUUUUUAACCAUCUUUGUUUGGUAAAAUAAUGGUCGGUUUAUCACACUAUCAGUAUUGUGCGAUCAUAUCAUAGUUAUAAUUGAAUUAAAUGGUGUCGUCUUUCGGCAUGCUAUAUAUUAUCUUCAAAAUAUU